AACGAUGAAGAGUUUGAUCCUGGCUCAGGAUGAACGCUAGCGGCAGGCCUAACACAUGCAAGUCGAACGGUAACAGGAAAAAGCUUGCUUUUUUGCUGACGAGUGGCGCACGGGUGCGUAACGCGUAUACAAUCUACCUCUUACUGGGGAAUAGCCUUUGGAAACGAAGAAUAAUACCCCAUAGUAUCUAAAUUUCGCAUGUUAUUUAGGUUAAAGCUUCGGCGGUAAGAGAUGAGUAUGCGUUCUAUUAGCUAGAUGGUGUGGUAACGGCACACCAUGGCAACGAUAGAUAGGGGCCCUGAGAGGGGGAUCCCCCACACUGGUACUGAGACACGGACCAGACUCCUACGGGAGGCAGCAGUGAGGAAUAUUGGACAAUGGGCGAAAGCCUGAUCCAGCCAUGCCGCGUGGGUGAAGAAGGCCUUCGGGUUGUAAAGCCCUGUCGUGGGGGAGGAAGACUUCGGUUUGACGUGUACCCCACAAGAAAGCACCGGCUAACUCCGUGCCAGCAGCCGCGGUAAUACGGAGGGUGCAAGC
rnacentral:rRNA from 1 species